rnacentral:rRNA from 1 species
UGCUGCUUUGCUGACGAGUGGCGGACGGGUGAGUAAUGUCUGGGAAACUGCCUGAUGGAGGGGGAUAACUACUGGAAACGGUAGCUAAUACCGCAUAACGUCGCAAGACCAAAGAGGGGGACCUUCGGGCCUCUUGCCAUCAGAUGUGCCCAGAUGGGAUUAGCUUGUUGGUGGGGUAACGGCUCACCAAGGCGACGAUCCCUAGCUGGUCUGAGAGGAUGACCAGCCACACUGGAACUGAGACACGGUCCAGACUCCUACGGGAGGCAGCAGUGGGGAAUAUUGCACAAUGGGCGCAAGCCUGAUGCAGCCAUGCCGCGUGUAUGAAGAAG